rnacentral:rRNA from 1 species
UAGGGAAUCUUCGGCAAUGGGGGGAACCCUGACCGAGCAACGCCGCGUGAGUGAAGAAGGUUUUCGGAUCGUAAAGCUCUGUUGUUAAGGAAGAACGAGUGUGAGAAUGGAAAGUUCAUGCUGUGACGGUACUUAACCAGAAAGGGACGGCUAACUACGUGCCAGCAGCCGAGGUAAUACGUAGGUCCCGAGCGUUGUCCGGAUUUAUUGGGCGUAAAGCGAGCGCAGGCGGUUAGAAAAGUCUGAAGUGAAAGGCAGUGGCUCAACCAUUGUAGGCUUUGGAAACUGUUUAACUUGAGUGCAGAAGGGGAGAGUGGAAUUCCAUGUGUAGCGGUGAAAUGCGUAGAUAUAUGGAGGAACACCGGUGGCGAAAGCGGCUCUCUGGUCUGUAACUGACGCUGAGGCUCGAAAGCGUGGGGAGCGAACAGG